AUUGAACGCUGGCGGCAUGCCUUACACAUGCAAGUCGAACGGCAGCACAGGAGCAAUCCUGGUGGCGAGUGGCGAACGGGUGAGUAAUAUAUCGGAACGUGCCCAGUUGUGGGGGAUAACGUAGCGAAAGCUACGCUAAUACCGCAUACGAUCUAUGGAUGAAAGCGGGGGAUCGCAAGACCUCGCGCGAUUGGAGCGGCCGAUAUCAGAUUAGGUAGUUGGUGAGGUAAAGGCUCACCAAGCCGACGAUCUGUAGCUGGUCUGAGAGGACGACCAGCCACACUGGGACUGAGACACGGCCCAGACUCCUACGGGAGGCAGCAGUGGGGAAUUUUGGGACAAUGGGCGCAAGCCUGAUCCAGCAAUGCCGCGUGCAGGAUGAAGGCCU
rnacentral:rRNA from 1 species